rnacentral:rRNA from 1 species
UACGUAGGGUGCAAGCGUUGUCCGGAAUUAUUGGGCGUAAAGAGCUCGUAGGCGGUCUGUCACGUCGGCUGUGAAAUCCCGAGGCUCAACCUCGGGUCUGCAGUCGAUACGGGCAAACUAGAGUAUUGCAGGGGAGACUGGAAUUCCUGGUGUAGCGGUGAAAAUGCGCAGAUAUCAGGAGGAACACCGGUGGCGAAGGCGGCUCUCUGGGACGGUACUGACGCUGAGACGCGAAAGCGUGGGGAGCGAACAGG